rnacentral:rRNA from 1 species
CCGACUGCUAUUUGGGUGAGGAUAAGCCAUGCGAGUCGAAUGGGAUACCUAAAUUUCCCAUGGCAGACUGCUCAGUAACACAUGAUCAACUUACCCUAUGGAGAAAAAUAACCUCGGGAAACUGAGGAUAAUGUUUCAUAGUUGAAAAGGCUUGGAAAAGUUUUUCAAUGAAAUGGAUAUGGAAAAUGGUUCAUAUUCGCCAUAGGAUAGGAUCGUGGUCGAUUAUGGUUGUUGGUGAGGUAACGGCUCACCAAGCCGAUAAUCGAUAGGGGCCGUGAGAGCGGGAGCCCCGAGAUGGGUACUGAGACAACGACCCAGGCCUUACGAGGCGCAGCAGGCGCGAGACCUCCGCAAUACACGAAAGUGUGACGGGGUUACCCAAAGUGUCCAUAUGUGGACUGUGGUAGGUGAGUAAUGUCCCCUACUAGAAAGGAGAGGGCAAGGCUGGUGCCAGCCGCCGCGGUAAGACCAGCUCUUCAAGUGGUCGGGAUAAUUAUUGGGCUUAAAGUGUCCGUAGCCGGUUUAGUAAGUUCCUGGUAAAAUCGGGUAGCUUAACUAUCCGUAUGCUAGGAAUACUGCUAUACUAGAGGGCGGGAGAGGUCUGAGGUACUACAGGGGUAGGGGUGAAAUCUUAUAAUCCUUGUAGGACCACCAGUGGCGAAGGCGUCAGACUGGAACGCGCCUGACGGUGAGGGACGAAAGCCAGGGGAGCGAACCGGAUUAGAUACCCGGGUAGUCCUGGCCGUAAACGAUGCAUACUAGGUGAUGGCACGGCUGUGAGCCGUGUCAGUGCCGUAGGGAAACCGUUAAGUGUGCCGCCUGGGAAGUACGGUCGCAAGGCUAAAACUUAA